CUGGCGGCGUGCCUAAUACAUGCAAGUCGAACGGUCUUUCUAUGGAAGCUUGCUUCCACUGAAAAGAUAGUGGCGAACGGGUGAGUAACACGUGGGUAACCUGCCCAUAAGAGGGGGGAUAACAUCCGGAAACGGGUGCUAAUACCGCAUAGUUUUCUUGAUCGCAUGAUCGGGAAAGGAAAGACGGCCUUUGUGCUGUCGCUUAUGGAUGGACCCGCGGCGUAUUAGUUAGUUGGUGAGGUAACGGCUCACCAAGACGAUGAUACGUAGCCGACCUGAGAGGGUGAUCGGCCACAUUGGGACUGAGACACGGCCCAAACUCCUACGGGAGGCAGCAGUAGGGAAUCUUCCGCAAUGGACGAAAGUCUGACGGAGCAACGCCGCGUGAGUGAAGAAAAGGUUUUCGGAUCGUAAAACUCUGUUGUCAGAGAAGAACAAGUUGGAGAGUAACUGCUCCAGCCUUGACGGUAUCUGACCAGAAAGCCACGGCUAACUACGUGCCAGCAGCGGC
rnacentral:rRNA from 1 species